GAUGAACGCUGGCGGCGUGCCUAAUACAUGCAAGUCGAGCGAACGGACGAGAAGCUUGCUUCUCUGAUGUUAGCGGCGGACGGGUGAGUAACACGUGGAUAACCUACCUAUAAGACUGGGAUAACUUCGGGAAACCGGAGCUAAUACCGGAUAAUAUUUUGAACCGCAUGGUUCAAAAGUGAAAGACGGUCUUGCUGUCACUUAUAGAUGGAUCCGCGCUGCAUUAGCUAGUUGGUAAGGUAACGGCUUACCAAGGCAACGAUGCAUAGCCGACCUGAGAGGGUGAUCGGCCACACUGGAACUGAGACACGGUCCAGACUCCUACGGGAGGCAGCAGUAGGGAAUCUUCCGCAAUGGGCGAAAGCCUGACGGAGCAACGCCGCGUGAGUGAUGAAGGUCUUCGGAUCGUAAAACUCUGUUAUUAGGGAAGAACAUAUGUGUAAGUAACUGUGCACAUCUUGACGGUACCUAAUCAGAAAGCCACGGCUAACUACGUGCCAGCAGCCGCGGUAAUACGUAGGUGGCAAGCGUUAUCCGGAAUUAUUGGGCGUAAAGCGCGCGUAGGCGGUUUUUUAGUCUGAUGUGAAAGCCCACGGCUCAACCGUGGAGGGUCAUUGGAAACUGGAAAACUUGAGUGCAGAAGAGGAAAGUGGAAUUCCAUGUGUAGCGGUGAAAUGCGCAGAGAUAUGGAGGAACACCAGUGGCGAAGGCGACUUUCUGGUCUGUAACUGACGCUGAUGUGCGAAAGCGUGGGGAUCAAACAGGAUUAGAUACCCUGGUAGUCCACGCCGUAAACGAUGAGUGCUAAGUGUUAGGGGGUUUCCGCCCCUUAGUGCUGCAGCUAACGCAUUAAGCACUCCGCCUGGGGAGUACGACCGCAAGGUUGAAACUCAAAGGAAUUGACGGGGACCCGCACAAGCGGUGGAGCAUGUGGUUUAAUUCGAAGCAACGCGAAGAACCUUACCAAAUCUUGACAUCCUUUGACAACUCUAGAGAUAGAGCCUUCUCCUUCGGGGGACAAAGUGACAGGUGGUGCAUGGUUGUCGUCAGCUCGUGUCGUGAGAUGUUGGGUUAAGUCCCGCAACGAGCGCAACCCUUAAGCUUAGUUGCCAUCAUUAAGUUGGGCACUCUAAGUUGACUGCCGGUGACAAACCGGAGGAAGGUGGGGAUGACGUCAAAUCAUCAUGCCCCUUAUGAUUUGGGCUACACACGUGCUACAAUGGACAAUACAAAGGGCAGCGAAACCGCGAGGUCAAGCAAAUCCCAUAAAGUUGUUCUCAGUUCGGAUUGUAGUCUGCAACUCGACUACAUGAAGCUGGAAUCGCUAGUAAUCGUAGAUCAGCAUGCUACGGUGAAUACGUUCCCGGGUCU
rnacentral:rRNA from 1 species